rnacentral:rRNA from 1 species
AGGACGAACGCUAGCGGCGUGCUUAACACAUGCAAGUCAAGGGGGCCCAGCAAUGGGCAACCGGCGAACGGGUGCGUAACACGUGAGCAACCUACCGAAAUGUGGGGGAUAGCCGGCCUAACGGCCGAGUAAUACCGCAUACGCUCUCGAUGAGGCAUUUCAUUGAGAGGAAACCUACGGGACAUUUCGAGGGGCUCGCGGCCUAUCAGCUAGUUGGCGAGGUAACGGCUCACCAAGGCAACGACGGGUAGC